GAUUGCCUUAGUAACGGCGAGUGAAGCGGCAACAGCUCAAAUUUGAAAUCUGGCCUUAUGGUCCGAGUUGUAAUUUGUAGAGGAUGUUUUGGGUACCGUUGCAGUUUAAUUUUCUUGGAACAGAAUGUCAGAGAGGGUGAGAGUCCCGUCUGGAACUGCGGUAGGGCCUAUGUAAAACUCCUUCGACGAGUCGAGUUGUUUGGGAAUGCAGCUCAAAAUGGGUGGUAAAUUUCAUCUAAAGCUAAAUAUUGGCCAGAGACCGAUAGCGCACAAGUAGAGUGAUCGAAAGAUGAAAAGCACUUUGAAAAGAGAGUUAAACAGUAUGUGAAAUUGUUGAAAGGGAAGCGCUUGCAACCAGACUUGAGCGUGGCGGUUCCCCCUUGCUUUUGCUUGGGCUACUCCGUCAUGUCCAGGCCAACAUCGGUUCUAGGGGCUGGUUAAAGACUUUAGGAAUGUAUCUACCCUCGGGUAGACUUAUAGCCUAGAGUGUCAUGCAGCCUCCCGGGACCGAGGAACGCGCUUAGGCGAGGAUGUUGGCGUAAUGGUUGUAAGCGACCCGUCUUGAAACACGGACCAAGGAGUCUAACAUCUAUGCGAGUGUUAGGGUGUCAAACCCUUACGCGGAAUGAAAGUGAACGGAGGUAAGAAGCCUUAAGGCUGCAUUAUCGACCGGUCCUGAAGUUUACGGAUGGAUCUGAGUAAGAGCAUAGCUGUUGGGACCCGAAAGAUGGUGAACUAUGCCUGAAUAGGGUGAAGCCAGAGGAAACUCUGGUGGAGGCUCGCAGCGGUUCUGACGUGCAAAUCGAUCGUCAAAUUUGGGUAUAGGGGCGAAAGACUAAUCGAACCAUCUGGUAGCUGGUUCCUGCCGAAGUUUCCCUCAGGAUAGCAGUAACGUUUUCAGUUUUAUGAGGUAAAGCGAAUGAUUAGAGGCCUUGGGGUUGAAACAACCUUAACCUAUUCUCAAACUUUAAAUAUGUAAGAAGCUCUUGUUGCUUAAUUGAACGUGAGCAUUUGAAUGUACCGUUACUAGUGGGCCAUUUUUGGUAAGCAGAACUGGCGAUGCGGGAUGAACCGAACGAGAGGUUAAGGUGCCGGAGUGCACGCUCAUCAGACACCACAAAAGGUGUCAAUGCAUCUAGACAGCCGGACGGUGGCCAUGGAAGUCGGAAUCCGCUUAGGAGUGUGUAACAACUCACCGGCCGAAUGCAUUGGCCCUGAAAAUGGAUGGCGCUUAAGCGUGUCACCUAUACCUCUCCAUAACCGUUUACUGGAAGCGAUUAUGAGUAGGCAGGCGUGGAGGUGCGUGACGA
rnacentral:rRNA from 1 species